GACGAACGCUGGCGGCGUGCUUAACACAUGCAAGUCGAACGGAAAGGCCCUGCUUUUGUGGGGUGCUCGAGUGGCGAACGGGUGAGUAACACGUGAGUAACCUGCCCUUGACUUUGGGAUAACUUCAGGAAACUGGGGCUAAUACCGGAUAGGAGCUCCUGCUUCAUGGUGGGGGCUGGAAAGUUUCGGCGGUUGGGGAUGGACUCGCGGCUUAUCAGCUUGUUGGUGGGGUAGUGGCUUACCAAGGCUUUGACGGGUAGCCGGCCUGAGAGGGUGACCGGCCACAUUGGGACUGAGAUACGGCCCAGACUCCUACGGGAGGCAGCAGUGGGGAAUAUUGCACAAUGGGCGGAAGCCUGAUGCAGCAACGCCGCGUGCGGGAUGACGGCCUUCGGGUUGUAAACCGCUUUCGCCUGUGACGAAGCGUGAGUGACGGUAAUGGGUAAAGAAGCACCGGCUAACUACGUG
rnacentral:rRNA from 1 species